UCCUCAGUAGCUCAAUGAUAGAAUGAUUGACUAUCAGCCGAUGAUCAUAGGUUCAAAUCCUAUUUUGGGAG
rnacentral:tRNA from 1 species